rnacentral:rRNA from 1 species
AGUGAACGCUGGCGGUAGGCCUAAUACAUGCAAGUCGAACGGCAGCACAGUAAGAGCUUGCUCUUACGGGUGGCGAGUGGCGGACGGGUGAGGAAUACAUCGGAAUCUACUUUUUCGUGGGGGAUAACGUAGGGAAACUUACGCUAAUACCGCAUACGACCUACGGGUGAAAGCAGGGGAUCUUCGGACCUUGCGCGAUUGAAUGAGCCGAUGUCGGAUUAGCUAGUUGGCGGGGUAAAGGCCCACCAAGGCGACGAUCCGUAGCUGGUCUGAAAGGAUGAUCAGCCACACUGGAACUGAGACACGGUCCAGACUCCUACGGGAGGCAGCAGUGGGGAAUAUUGGACAAUGGGCGCAAGCCUGAUCCAGCCAUACCGCGUGGGUGAAGAAGGCCUUCGGGUUGUAAAGCCCUUUUGUUGGGAAAGAAAAGCAGCAGGUUAAUACCCCGCUGUUCUGACGGUACCCAAAGAAUAAGCACCGGCUAACUUCGUG